rnacentral:pre_miRNA from 1 species
AAUAAGUGCAGCCGUGGAUAUCCGUGCCCAACAUUUGACCGUCCGUCUUAUUUGAAAAAUUUGAAAAUAUUUAGUCACACAUAAAGUACUAUUUAUGUUUUAUCAUCUAAUAGCAAUAAAAAUAUUAAUCAUAAAAAAAUUUCAAAUAAGACGAACGGUCAAACGUUGAACGUGAAUAGUACAAAACUGCAUUUAUU